GUGCUGACAGAGGUCCAGCUGCAGGCGUUUGGGCAGUAACGUGCAGGUGGCAGAGGGAUAAAUAACGUGGGCAUGGAGAGGAUGAGCAGCAUUUGCUGAUGGAAGGAGGACACUGAGGCUCAGGACUGCUGGGUGGGGAGAUUUUUGGUUCCACAGGCCAAAAAUGGGGAGCAGGAAAAGUCCACCUAAAAGAACAACAUGCUUGUCUCUGACCCCUGAAGCUCCUGGAUGUGCUGGCAGCUGGGUGGUGACCUGGAGAAAGCCAUGGUGUGGCCGGCUUGGUCUUGGACUCCUUGAGAAGAGUUCCAGGAGCAGGAUGUCUGCUCAUAUCCACGUUUGGGGUUCAGGAGGUCCCAGCUGGUCCCACCUCCCUGCAGGGGAAGCAGCCACUGACUCAGAGGUCACUCAGAAACUGCAGGAGUAAAGUCAGAGCAGUAGAAGAGGCAAGGACCUGAUGGCCCUGAUCUUUCUGCUGUGAAUCAUUCUCUGAGGAGGAAAAAAAAUAGCAUAAAAGACCUCUUGAAGUGAAGGAGACACUUGAAAAUGCUUUAAAAGCAGAACAAACUUGCAAAGCCGUGAAGAAACGCUUGAAGGGCUCACAGACCAUGACAGGAAUUCACUCCUGCAGGGGCAGAAGGGGCCAGCUGACAUCUGGCACAUCUCUAUCCCCGCUCUGCUCUGUGUCCUCCUUGCUUUGCCAACUGGUAUUUUAACACUUGGAUGACAGAAGUAACCACUUGUUUAAUAUUAAAGCAGCUUUUUUUCA